rnacentral:lncRNA from 1 species
GACAUAUAUACUGAAUUUGGAGCAUAGUAUUAACUAUUAAUAAUUAUACAUGUGGGACUUGAAUUUGACUUAGGAGAAAAUCUGCGAUUUGAACCUGUCAUAUGCUUAAACUAGCUGAUUUAGCUCUAUGAGCCGUUGUAAUUUUGUAUCGUCGCAGUAUCGAUGUGACGGAUACCCCAGGUAGUUUAGAUUUCAGUUACGCUCGUGCUGGGAUGCCAGGUAUAUUUUUACUAUAUCGUUCAAACUGCUCCGGACUGUUGGGUGCCGUCAGAGUUGACGGUGGUCCCAUAUCGCCGUUUUGGCGUCAGCUUUGCCGAGGGCACGUGACCUGUUGGUUGUUAGACUAGUUGGACCCUAUUACUUGACUUUGGCUUGUGAGAGCCUGAUUGAGCUCGACAGAGAUACGCUGCAUACUCGGUUGGGUAGCUCCCACGAGUGCCACUCCUGAGACGGGCGCUGUGCUUUCGCGUUCGUGUCGUUCAUGCCGGUUGGACUUGCUGUCCACAGACUGGUUAGCAUGGAGGUAGCUGGAUAGUCUCAACUGCGCGGGACGGGUGUAUUCACAGUCCUUGGGACGGGUAUGUUUAUAGUCCCUAAAGAGAUUGGGUCAGGAUUGACAUUUCUACAGUAGGUUGGUUUAGAGCAUGAUAGUGUAUUAACUCGUAGUUGUAGAUUUUAUUCCAGCAUUUAUUACUAUCUUCACUCCCUUCUGUAGACUUAGUCGGUGGACCAAUGAUGUUGAGGGCGGCACCCACUGAGGACUACUUGUUUUUACAGUAGUUCUCACGCCCUGUUGUUACCCCGUUUUUGCAGAGCCAUCGUCUUCGGCUGCUGCGGUUGCUGAUCAGGAUCAAGGCAAGGGCGUCGCGAGUUAGAGCCCUACCAGACGAGCCGAGCUAGAGGUGCCCCUACAAUAGGUAGUUGUUUUUGUUGGAGUUCAUGUACAUACUGACGUUUAACUCGCCAGUGCGAGUAGUUUUGUAUCUGGGACUUGGCGUAUGUAUAUGGAACUCGGUUUGUUUUUGUUACUGGUUCUCCUAGCAGCUCUAUACUACUGUUUGUAGUAUUGUAUGUUUUACAGGUACAGCUAUCGCUUCGUAUACAGGAAAAAGUCCUUUGUAUACGGCUGUCACGCCCGGGGUCCCUUUCAGGUUAAAACACAGCGAAAUUUUUUUUUUUUUUGAAAACCUGACCCCAGGGUAUGCCAGAUCCGCUACAAAAUACAGGAAAUCCACUGUUCACACGGACAGAGUCUCCCCUGUAUUUGCACGGCGUCGCACAAGUACAAAAGUAUAACAAAGAUACAACCACCAUAAUGAAUAAACAACAAUUAACAUUCAUUCACCAUUCACCACAGAUUUACCAUUUAGAGUUUAAUUUAUAAAUCCACGACUAUUAGUUUAAAACAUUUUCCACCCGGAAACUUAUUUUGAAACACCAAGAGUUGAAAAGUCGAUAAAACCAUCACUGAGCGUGCACCACUGUACCACUGUACAAAACUGGGUCGAAAGCUCUAGCGACCACUACGAACGUGUCUCACAUCUCGUCUCAACCCUCACCGCCUGCAAUAUCUAAAAAAUGGUAGGGGAGGUGAGAACAUGUAAACAUGUCUCCCCUCCUAGUGGGUACCGCAAGCCGACGAAGGCGAGGAGUACUCACCGGAUCAGGAAGAGAUAAACAACAGUAUGGGUAAGUGAAAUACAGUAGCAACGAUAAUGAACGAAUGAGAUAUAUAUAUAUAUAUAUAUAUAUAUAUAUAUAUAUAUAUAUAUAUAUAUAUAUAUGAAAACACAACUACCGCUACUGUAAAGGAGAACUGAAUGCAUACAUGGAUAUCAACUAUAGUAGCAAGACAACUGUAAAGAAGAACUGUAAGUAUGCAAGCAACAAUCGCUACUAUAGUCAUAUGCGUCAACCAGACGACAAGUCCAAAAAUACCCAAUCUGAAAACUGCCCUAUUUGUCAGCAGACCUCAGGCCCUUGCCCACUGCCACUCUGACCGCUGGGCACCCAGUUCUGACCGCUGGGCUCAUAGGCUGCAUAUAACCUAGUCCUGACCGCUGGGCUCACGGGCUGGCACAUCCAUCCACUUUUUCGAAAGAGAACACCCUCUUGCGGUGGAUCAGACCGCUGGUGAUCGUGAAAUGCGAACGAGUCUCGGGCGAUCAAUGCUUAUAUGCUCAAUGGCCAACCGUCGGCAACCAGCCGACAAUCACUGCCUCUCGAGGCUAACCGACCAAUCGGUCAUCAAACUGUAAUGAAGCACAAGAAUAGACCACUCAGGUCAACUAGGAUGGAAUGAAUCUACAUCCUCUCAAAAGUAUGGAAAUACUGUUCGAUGGGUCAACUAAAGUAUAGAUGUAAGAACCAACCAAUAGAUCACAGGAAUGCAUCACUAUAAUCUGGAACCACCAUCAGCCCCUAGCCGACAAUCCUACCCCUCAGGGUACACCGACCUCAACGGUCAUCGGACAACAAAAGUCAAAGACUAAACAUAAAUAAUCGUGCAUCAUGCCAGCGAACACAACUCCUCACGUCGAAAUAAUUAUCGUCGGAUAAUCAUUUCGAUCCGGGUUCCCGGAAGUGUCUAAUUCGACACCGGAACCCACUGUCGCUCACCCGUCAUUUCUGAACUCUCGAAAUGACCCGAGUGACCAGCCAACAAGGCUCAGAGACUACACAAUAGCUCACGAAGCACCGUCGGAAUAAUUCCGAACCGAACCCGCAUUUCGUCGGCGAAUUUUGCCGAGAAACGCGCUGGAAAUCACUUUCUGAUUCCCGCAAAGGCUUGGGGCCUUGGACGAUCAGUCCAGAGGUUAUCCUCAGCCCAUACUUGCUGCCAACAGCAGCCACGACAAACAAAGUUGCAUAAAAGCCCUUCCGAUUACCCGAAAUCACAUUAUUUUAUGUGAUUUCGGCGCUUUUAUGGUUCGUCUACACAAACCAGAAGUCAUUCAGCCAAACCGAGACACCUACUAACAGGUAUCGGCGUGCCGGGGACCGUGCUCACCUUUUGGAGCACUGCCGGCCACUGUGGCACGUGCACGAGCGAUGCGAAAAUCAGUGAAACAGCACCCCCAUCAGGAAAAGCAUGCUUAUCUCGCUAACCAGGGGCUUGUUGACCCUAAGUGAGGUGAGCACUGUGAUCAGGACUGACAGAUGAUCACCGUGCUCACCACCGGAGGCAUUGGAACAGCCUCGGGUCGCCGAAACAGUGACCAGAACAGGAAACUAUGAGUAGAAACGCUGAAAUCAAGCUUAACGGCCAGGGGAGAGCUAGGGCUGGCCGGCGGCCGCCGAACGACGGGAGCGCCAGCGGAAGGAGGGUUCAGGCGAUGCAGGGAAGCCAGGGGAUACGUUGGCCGGCGUCGGAAGUCGUCGGCGACGACGGCAUUUGAUGCCUUAGGCACCCAAACCCGAGGAGGACAUAGCCCAGAUCUGACCGACAGGGAGCUCCGGCGACGGCGGCGCCAGCGGUGGGCGAGUGCCGCCGACUAGGCAGAGCUGGUGCUCAUGCCGGCCAGCGGCGGAAGGUGGCUGCGGCGGUGCUGGAGCAUCCCUAGCCCGCGCCGAUUCAGCUCGAGCUUAGAGGGUAACGGCGGCCAUGGAGGUGGCCGGAGGAGGGUCAGGGCAACGGCGGCACAUCGUCGGAGGCCGAGGGAGUGCGGCUCGCCUUGCUGCGAGCGGCGGCGACAUGCGGUGGCCGAGAUAGCUAGGUCUCGGCCCGCUUAAGGUCUGGGCGGCUGCAGAGAGGGAGAGCGGCGGCCGGCGGCAUCGGGAACGACGGCGAUGGCGCGCGGUGGCACGCCGAGGAGUUCGAGGAGGGUGGUGCUUCCAAUCCCGAGCGACAGCAACACGAGGAGGAGAUCCCACAACCUCGACCAAAUCUGCUUAGAUCUGGCCGCAGCUAACCAGGGCGGCGGCGGCGGCGCUCGGGGGCGACAGGGACGGCGUCGAGGUUAGGAUUGCAGCCAGGGAAGAGGCCCGAGGCUUGUGGAUCUCUCCCUGUAGUCGACGAUAGAGAUGAAGGGUGAUCUAUGGUGGUUUGGUAGAGAAGAUAGUGGAGGAGAGGCCGAACCCAGAUUUUCCGGCGGCCGGGGUACCUGCCGGCGGCCGGGGUGCGCGCGCGGGGCACGGGUAUGGUGAUGCUAGGAAUGGCAGAGGGGUCGGCUAAGGGAGACGGCCUCUAGGGUUAGGGUUUUCUCUAUGAAACCCUAAAGUCUUCAAUAUAAACAAAGUGCAAAAUUGCAAGAAAGUCCUCCGAAGCUACAAAUUUCAAACCCAGUCCUUCACAAUGGGUAACUCUCGCGCAUUCGCACCUCCACAAUCGAUCUCGCGCGAUUCGGUACAUAAAAUAUGGAGGUUUGCGCAAAAAUACCAUUUUGCCACUAAACACCCCUCCUCGAUCAACGUGUGACAUCUAGCGAUCCGUCCAUCAGAUUUGCGAACGGAGACAAUAAACCUACCAUUUCGUUUCGCCACGAUCGGUCAUGGAUUCGCGAUGAAACCCGUUCACUCUCUCCAAAAGACAAGUGACACACAAAUACAUAUAAAACAUGUAUUUUUCGAUUUUCUCGAAAUUUGUGCUUCAAACCCAAAAUCCGUCAACGCCAAUGGUUCUAAAAUAGCUGAACCGUUCGAAACAAGCUAUUGGACUGGUAUGAAAGGAGUCCGAUACGCGACAGAAGCCAACUCUACUCCGUGGCUUCUCCGAAAAACCAGAGUUACUAUUCACUUAAGUGAAUAGUAUUUAUCGCGUAACUUCUCCAUUCUAACUCGUUUUCUCCUGAAACUUGACGAGUGCUUAUGUAAUUAAAUUACACACAAAAACAUCAUUAACAGAGAGUUUAGCUAUACUGCCAAAAUCUCAAUCCUCACAUCAUCCCCCCCUUAAAAGAAGUUUCGUCCCCGAAACUUGACCUCGUACCUACCGCAAUCGAAUUCCGACAUUGCUCCAACAAUGCGGUAUCACCUUUGGGUACUGAUCAGUCAUUUUCAUUUGGACACAUCGAUCUCUAAAGAAGGAAAACAAUAGGACUACGGUUCCACUCGGACAAGACGAAGGAAAAUAUCCCAACCUAAAAUCUACGGACCAAAACUCACCGGGAUCAACACCAUCCUAUAACCUGCGAACAAAGACAGUCCCGCGACCAGGAUUAUUAGAUCCCAAAUUACCAACUCCGAGAUAAAAAAUUCUCCACUCAGAAACUCUAGAUACACUCUACCUUGAUCCGCAUACCAGUAACCGACUCGACUACGUCGAAGGUUCACGUAGAAGAGAUACGAGUCAACACCACAAGUUUGGAGUGUAUUUUCAUAGGCCGAAAAGACACACUCUGACUAGCCAACAACGUCAACCUGUUCACCACGAGCGAAUACGAAAUAUUGUUCUAAGACCUGAGUCAAAACUCUCACCUUGGAGAUCACAGUCUCCCACCAGUAAUCACACGAACUGCCAAAACCUCCAUCAACGGAAAGUCACCUGUGACAAUCUAUAGCCCUAGGUCCAAGACCCCACUUACCACCUGACCAAAAGGUCCAACUGACAAUACCAAUUGAGCUAGACAAUUUUGUUUCCUCAAACUUAAUCCGGUACCAAUAGACCACCAAAAGCUCAUUGCAAGUCCAUCACUUGAUGCACAGUUCGCCAAUCGCAACUGUGAUAAUAACCAUCGGCGAUGCUCAACAUCUGUCUCCACGAGACCCUGUCGCUGCCAUCCUAAAAAGGAUCCUAGCGAUCGGUGUUCCGAGCAACGCCAAAUACCUAUCUCAUUGAGACUCCGGCGCACUUGUCACCAAUUAACAGGACAAGCAUACCAUUCCAAGGUUGCACGCUAAGCCGAGUCACAACCUUAUACGCUAUCACAUACGGUGACAAUCAAAGCCAACAACCAGGUUCAAGUCGCUCCACAAUGUGCUUCAGAACCUCCUGGCAAACAGGCCGAGACUACUAACCAAAUAAACCUUUUAGUUGUAACAGGUACAACUAAAGAGCUAACAAGUACCCAGACUUGAACCAAGGUCAAAACCAUCAGCAGUGACGAUAAGUCAACUGCACAAAACCUGCCAGGGAAUAAUCCAAGGCUUGCUACAUGGUCAAAGAUGACCAUCACUUAAGCUUUCUCAUAAGACAAGCUAGAGCGAAUACCGACCCAAUCCAAAAGUCCCCAAGCAGGGAAUGGGUAUUUCGUCCCACUUUCGACAGUACAUUGUCUGCUGCCAAUGUACUUAUCAAAAGAAAGCGAAAUAUCCGAGAUCCACUACCAACAAUAAGUUGGAAGCGCGACACGUCAAAGUAUCAAGUUACCUGAUACCUCUUCACUGAACCAAGAGUUCACAACCAUUACUAUCGAAACAUCGACUUUACUAGUCGACAUUCGAAAUCAGAAUGACCCUGAACCGACUCACAGGGAGUCCUAAAACUUUCAACAUCCGAAAGCUGCUAGCGACACUAAGCCGCGAACCAUACCAGCUGAGGCUUUAGGAAACGGUUUCUCUAACCGAUUUUCGCGCAACAACCGAGCUAUAAUCAAAGCUUCGAGAAUUCCGACAAUAACUAGGAGUCUCUCGAAUUAAGACGAAACCUAUCACCAAGUACAAACUAACACAUAACACACCAAUUUAGGUGUUAGUAUAACCGCAUAUGAUGUAUGCCUCGACGAAAACCUGACACAAAAACUGUGUCAAUCCGACUCUAGUACACGUCAAUUUGACGAAAGAACUAGUUCAAGGUCAAAAGACCCAAACUGCUGAUUCCAAUCAGCAAUCGAGGGAAGGUAGGCAUUGCAACCCUACCCAAAGAUCUGCGGAAGCAACGCUAACAAUGUAGUCGCCUAAACGACCGCUAUCCAAACCCUAGGCUACACCCUAGUAACCCCACUAAAGUCGCGACCGUAAUUGGUCUAAGUACCGUCUCCGUAGAGACACUCGUAGUAGCUCUCGUGCCCUCAGUAGGAAGAGUAGCCUGGGUGUCGGCAGUUAAGACACUCGCCUAGGCUGAAGAUCACCUGGCCCUUCAAGGCCUCACCUGACAGGAGUAGCAAUACCUGGGGAACGCCGCCCCACCACUCAAUGUCCAAAAAGAAGCACCGCCACUACUCCCGACUGAGACACCAGCUUGUGCGAAAAUUGUAGUACAUAAGGAAAUAUCCGUGCAUUCGAGUUUACCAAUCUCGACAUGCACACCGGGACUCAAGCCCAAACCCCGCACUCAUGUGCCUAUAUACCGUAGGUCUUCCUAUAGGUCAACCUAACCAAUGGUUUAGUUUUAUUUACUUUUCAAAACAACCUGUGAAUGGUGUUGUGGUUGCAACUUGUCUCUGAUACCACUUUAAUCUGUCACGCCCCGAGAUCUCUUUUAGGUUAAAACACAACGAUUUUUUUUUUUUUUUUUGAAAACUUGACCCCAGGGUAUGCCAGAUCCAUCACAAAUAUAGGGAAUCCACUGUUCACACGGACAGAGUCUCCCCUAUAUUUGCACGGCGUCACACAAGUACAAGAGUAUAACCAUAAUACAACCACCAUAAUGAAUAAACAACAAUUAACAUUCAUUCACCAUUCACCACAGAUUUACCAUUCAGAGUUCAAUUUAUAAAUUCACGACUAUUAGUUUAAAACGUUUCCCACCCGGAAACUCAUUUUGAAACACCAAGAGUUGAAAAGCCAAUAAAACCUUUUUAAGACCAUUUCCUACACGAAAGCCUUUUCUUUUUAAAGCACGCUACCACGAGGGGUAGAAAAUUAUUUCCAGUUUACAAAAUUAUAUAUCCUUUAUUUUUCAUGAAACCACGUAUUUUAAUUAACUUCACAAAACCAUGUUUAUAUAUAUCCAAGUAAACAAAACCAACUGAACCAUAUGUCUAAGAUAUGUCAACAGAAAUAAAGAGGGUAAUAGCUAAACUGAACAAACCAGGUCGAAAGCUCUAGCGACCACUACGAACGUGUCUCACGUCUCGUCUCAACCCUCACCGCCUGCAAUACCUGAAAAUGGUGGGGGAGGUGAGAACAUAUAAACAUGUCUCCACUCUCAGUGGGUACCGCAAGCCGACGAAGGCGAGGAGUACUCACCGGAUCAGGAAGAGAUAAACAACAGUAUGGGUAAAUGAAAUACAGUAGCAACCAUAAUGAACGAAUGAGAUAUAUAUAUAUAUAUAUAUAUAUAUAUAUAUAUAUAUAUAUAUAUAUAUAUAUACACACAUCCAAACCAAGGCCAAAUUAAAAAUAACCCCACCAAGGAAAUAAGAAAAAGGUGAACACACAUCUCACCUCAAUGUGUAACACUUCCCCCUCCCCUCCUUUCUCCUCCACCCAAAAAUCCCANGCAUACAUGGAUAUCAACUAUAGUAGCAAGACAACAGUAAAGAAGAACUGUAAGUAUGCAAGCAACAAUCGCUACUAUAGUCAUAUGCGUCAACUAGACGACAAGUCCAAAAAUACCCAAUCUGAAAACUGCCCUUUUAGUCCGCAGACCUCAGGCCCUUGCCCACUACCACUCUACCUGUAUAUAACCCAGUUCUGACCGCUGGGCACCCAGUUCUGACCGCUGGGCUCAUAGGCUGCAUAUAACCCAGUCCUGACCGCUGGGCUCACUCAAAAGUAUGGAAAUACUGCUCGAUGGGUCAACUAAAAUAUAGGUGCAAGAACCAACCAAUAGAUCACAAGAAUGCAUCACUAUAAUCUGGAACCACCGUCAGCCCCUAGCCGACAAUCCUACCCCUCAGGGUACACCGACCUCAACGGUCAUCGGACAACAGAAGUCAAAGAAUCGACCAACCAGGUCACUGAUACGAAGUACAAGAAACCACCAACCGGGUCAACAAUGCGAAGUACAAGAAUCGACCAACUAGGUCACUAAUACGAAGUACAAGAAACCACCAACCAGGUCACCAAUACGAAGUACGAGAAUAGACCAACCUGGUCACUAAUACAAAGUACGAGAAUCGAUCGGUCAUAGGCAUCACAAAUAGAUAGAUUACUCUACUCCUACACCUGAUACUAAGCAUGGGAACAUUUGAGUAGAGUAUAAUGUAAAUAAUAGAGGUGCAAAGCUCAACAUAUAAUAUAUGCAUGGAUAAUAACAAAAGAGCAAGGGUAAGAAACCAUCACCGAGCGUGCACCACUGUACCAACGUCGGAUCGAAGUACCCACCUGUACGAAUGUCGUGCCUGUCUCCUGACUGCGAAAGAAAGUCAACCGAACCUAAGGAAGGUCCACCGGGUUAGUGUCUAACCCACAACUAAUAACCACUAAAUCCACAACCCACAAACAAACCCACGGAGAUCGGUUUCGCAAACCAAUCGCCGUAAUACGCCGGAAGUCCCGUAAUCGCACGGGGGCUCCGCCGGGACCCACGAACUGUCCCGAAACAUACCGACUCGAGCUACGAGUCACAUGCUGCCACUAAACAUAAAUAAUCGUGCAUCAUGGCAGCAAACACAACUCCUCACGUCGAAAUAAUUAUUGUCGGAUAAUCAUUUCGAUCCGGGUUCCCGGAAGUGUCUAAUUCGACACCGGAACCCACUGUCGUUCACCCGUCAUUUCUAAACUCUCGAAAUGACCCGAGUGACCAGCCAACAAGGCUCAGCGACUACACAAUAGCUCACGAAGCACCGUCGAAAUAAUUCCGAACCGAACCCGCAUUUCGUCGGAGGAUUUCGCCAAGAAACGCGCCGGAAAUCACUUUCUAAUUCCCGCAAAGGCUUGGGGCUUUGGACAAUCAGUCCAGAGGUUAUCCUCAAACCAUACUUGCUGCCAACAGCAGCCACGAUGAACAAAGUUGCAUAAAAGCCCUUCCGAUUAACCGAAAUCACAUUAUUUUAUGUGAUUUUGGCGCUUUUAUGGUCCGUCUACACAAACUAGAAGUCCUUCAGCCAAACCGAGACACCUACUGACAGGUAUCGGCGUGCCGGAGACCGUGCUCACCUUUCGGAGCACUGCCGGCCACUGUGGCACGCGCACGAGCGAUGCGAAAAUCAGUGAAACAGCGUGCACAGCAGGAAAAGCAUGCUUAUCUCGCUAACCAGGGGCUCGUUGACACUAAAUAAGGUGAGCACUGUGAUCAGGACUGACAGAUGAUCACCGUGCUCACCACCGGAGGCAUCGAAACAGCCUCGGGUCACCGGAACAGUGACCAGAACAGGAAACUAUGAGCAGAAACGCUGAAAUCGAGCUUACCGGCCAGGGGAGAGCUAGGGCUGGCCGGCGGCGGCCGGACGACGGGAGCGCCAGCGCAAGGAGGGUUCAGGCGAUACAGCGAAGCCAGGGGAUGUGUUGGCCGGCGUCGGAAGGCGUCGGCGACGACGACAUUUGAUGCCCUAGGCACCCAAACCCAAGGAGGACACGGCCCAGAUCCGGCCAACUGGGAGCUCCGGUGACGAGGGCGCCAGCGGUGGGCGAGUGCGGCCGGCCAGGCGGAGCCGGUGCUCAUGCCGGCCAGCGGCGGAAGGUGGCUGCGGCAGUGCUGGAGCAUCCCUAGCCCGCGUGGGUUCAGCUCGAGGUUAAAGGGUAGCGACGGCCAUGGCAGUGGCCGGAGGAGGGUCAGGGCAACGGCGGCACGUCGUCGGAGGCUGAGGGAGGAUGGCUCGCCUUGCUGUGGGCGGUGGCGACAUGCGGUGGCCGAGAUAGCUAGGUCUCGGCCUGCUCAAGGUCUGGGCGGCCGCAGAGAGGGAGAGCGGCGGCCGGCAGCAUCGGGAGCGACGGCGAUGGCACGCGAGGGCACGCCGAGGAGUUCGAGGAGGGUGGUGCUUCCAAUCCCGAGAAACAGCAACACAAGGAGGAGAUCCCACAACCUCGGCCAGAUCUACAUAGAUCUGGCCGCAGCUAACCAGGGCGGCGGCGGCGGCGCUCGGGGGCGACAGGGACGGCGCCGGGGUUAGGAUUGCAGCCAGGGAAGAGGCCCGAGGCUUGUGGAUCUCUCUCUGAGGUUGACGGCAGAGAUGAAGGGUGAUCUAUGGUGGUUUGGUAGAGAAGAUGGUGGAGGAGAGGCCGAACCCAGAUUUUCCGGCGGCCGGGGCACCUGCCGGCGGCCGGGGUGCGCGCACGGCACGGGUAUGGUGAUGCUGGGAAUGGCAGAGGGGUCGGCUUAGAGAGAAGGCCUCUAGGGUUAGGGUUUUCUCUAUGAAACCCUAAUGUUUUCAAUAUAAACAAAGUGCAAAAUUGCAAGAAAGUCCUCCGAAGCUACAAAUUUCAAACCCAGUCCUUCACAGUGGGUAACUCUCGCGCAUUCGCACCUCCACAAUCGAUCUCGCGUGAUUCGGUACAUAAAAUAUGGAGAUUUUCGCAAAAAUACCGUUUUGCCACUAAACACCCCUCCUCGAUCAACGUGUGACAUCUAGCGAUCUGUCCGUCAGAUUUGCGAACGGAUCGCACUAGUGGGAUCAGCACAACGGAGACAAUAAACCUACCAUUUCGUUUCGCCACGAUCGGUCACGGAUUCACGAUAACACCUGUUCACUCUCUCCAACAGACAAGUGACACACAAAUACAUAUAAAACAUGUAUUUUCUAAUUUUCUUGAAAUCUGUGCUUCAAACCCAAAAUUCGUCAACGCUAAUGGUUCCAGAAUAACUGAACCGUUCGAAACGAGCUAUUGGACUGCUAUGAAAGGAGUCCGAUAUGCGGCAGAAGCCAACUCUACUCCGUGGCUUCUCCGAAAAACCGGAGUUACUAUUCACUUAAGUGAAUAGUAUUUAUCGCGUAACUUCUCCAUUCUAACUCGUUUUCUUCUGAAACUUAUCGAGUGCUUAUGUAAUUAAAUUACACACAAAAACAUCGUCAACAGAGAGUUUAGCUAUACUGCCAAAAUCUCAGUCCUCACAACGGCGGAUUUGUCGGCGUGCCCGGGGAACGUGUAAUCCGGGGCGUGACAGAUUAAGUUGGUAUCAGAGCUUAGCUGUAGGUCGUUGGGACCUAGGAACCCUACGUUUGGCAAACCUUAGGAAGGCAAGACGCGAGAGGCGUAAUUUAUUACGAAAGUCAGUGAUUAAUUGUUCUAACUACUCCUAGAGUGGGGUGAGUGAUUGAAGGAGUGUCUGUUUUGGCCUGAGAAAUUAUAUUGGCUGCAGACGACAUAAUUUUGGAGGAAAACAGGGGCCGCCUUCCAAACUUUCGUUGAUUAGGUCGAGAGUGUUUGUAUUUCAUCUGACCCUGUUUCGUUUGUUGCAGCUAUAGCGAUGUAUCGUCGCUGAGGUCGACCGUCAUUGCGGGAGCGUGCCCAGUUGACGCAGGAUCGUGCGGGACCUUUCGAGAUGCCAGAGCAGACAGAGCGGAGUACCCGACCGGAGACGAGCGCACCCCCUGUAGCGGAGCCGAGUGCGCGACCUGAGGCUAGCGUAUCCUAUGAUCUCAGCGCACAGUUAGCUGCCUUGACUGAGGUGACGAGGCGGCAGGGGGAGUUAUUGGAGAGGAUGUGCAAGAGGUUAGCUUCGCCCCAGAGUGUAGCACCGAGGGCACCAGAGUCGCCUGUUCCACCUCCGACUACCCCAGUGACAGCGCCAACUGCAGCAGUUCCUCCGUCGGCAGCAGUUCCAGUAGCGCCAGUUGCGCCUGCUAGGGGGCCAGUACAGUUGACAGAGGCCGAGCAUAAGUGGUUGACGGAGAGGUCUGCUAGUUUUCGCCGUUUUGAUCCACUGACCUUCGAUGGCAGUUGCACUGAGGCCUGGGUUGUUGAGGGAUGGGUCAGUGCGAUGGAGAAGCUAUUUGAGGAUCUGUUCAUUCCUGAGUGGGAGCAGAUAUCUUUGGGAGUCCAUUGCUUUGCAGGCGAUGCACAUGCCUGGUGGAGGAGAGUGAAACGAGAUCAGGGACUGGUAGCGUUGCAGCUGAGAUGGGAUGAGUUCUGUGGAAUGCUGUUUGGGAUGUAUUUUUCUAACAGUGUGAAACAGAAGCUCGAGGAGGAUUUGAAGAGGAUUCAGCAGGGGGAUCGGCUAGUGCAGGAAUACAUUCGGGAGUUUACUCGACUCCUGAACUGUGUGCCGUUUGUGGCCAGGGACGAGGCACACAGGGUUUAUCUGUUUGAGUUCGGGCUGAGACCCGACAUCUUCAGGUUGGUGCAGGCGCAGAGGUCGAGAACCCUGGAUGCGUCCAUAGAACAGGCCUUAUGGGUGGAGAGAGGCGAGGUGUCGCUGCAAAAGAGAACUCAGGCGGUGGGGCCGAGUCAGAACAGGAAGUGCCCCUUUUUAGAUGAUGCUCGACAGUCGAGCAGCAGGCGUCCGCCAAGACCUCCACGAUCACGCUCUCAGGAUCGUGGGUCUUCAGGGCGUCAGCGUUCCAGAGGAUCCCGUCAGCAGGGACAGACUAAGAGGACACCGCAGUGUGUGAUUGCAGGGGGCCCUAUUGGCCCCGGCAGUGCGAGCAGAGAGAGGGCAAGUGUUACAGUUGCGGUCAACCCGGGCAUAUGAGAUCAGCUUGUCCUCGAGCAGCAUCACCAGCACCAUCAUCGUAUCAGCACAGCCAGGACCUCCGCAGUCUUUUGGAGCAGCUCCGAGUUUCCGCCAGGAGAACAGAUCGUCUGUGCCGCGUCAGGGCGAGCGCCGACAGCAGUCUCCGAGCGACAGGGUCUAUGCAGCCCAAGUGGAGAACUCUUCAGCAGCUAACCGAGUGGUGGCAGGUAUUAUUUUGAUUUCUGGCAUUAGAGCUCGUACCCUUUUUGAUACCAGUGCCUCGCAUUUUUUUGUUAGCCGAGCAUUUGCAUUGUUGCAUGGUCUAGAGUUAGGAGUAUUGUCACAGGCACGAGAGGUGCAGAUCCCAAACCAUGUUUUACAGGUUGCAGAGUGUUGUUGGUCAUGUCCGGUACAGUUAGAUUCGUGGAUCAUGCCCGCAGACCUGUUGGUGCUAGGGCAGCUGCAGGACUUCGACGUUAUGCUCGGUAUAGACUGGCUGGCGCGGUACUAUGCUACAAUCGAUUGUGGAGCGAGGACAGUGACGUUUCGCUAGCCAGGCCAGGAGGAGUUUACUUUUAGAGGCUGCAGGUGUAUACUGUUUGCCACUUAGAUAUCUUCGGCGAGGGCUUGACAGAUGAUGAGUAGAGGGUGUGUGGCAUUUCUGGCAACUAUUGUUGAGGUAUCUAAGGUAGCACCGGUGGUUGGAGUUACUGAAAAACUAUGACAUUAGUAUUCAGUAUCAUACCGGCAAGGCGAACGUGGUGGCAGAUGCGUUGAGCAGGAAGGCAGUGCAGAGCUUGAACUUAUUGAUUACUGAGCAGAGGCCGUUAUUCGAGGAGCUACAGCAGUUGAGGCUCGAGAUAGUGUCCCCUGAAUCUACUGCGAGACUGAUGUCUCUGGUCUUGCAGCCCACUCUGUUGGAUAGGAUCCGAGAGAAACGGAGUUGAGAUUCGUACUUGUCGAGGAUUCGAGAGCAGCUACAUAGGGGACAGGCUGAGGGUUUUGCUUUAGACAGUUCGGGAGUACUACGGUACAGGGACCGACUAUGUGUGCCUGGGGAUACAGAGAUUCGAGAGGAUAUUUUGAGAGAGGCUCAUUAUUCACCUUAUACGGUUCACCCUGGGGGAACCAAGAUGUAUAAGGAUUUAAAGACACAGUUCUGGUGGAAUGGAAUGAAGAAAGACAUUAGCAGAUUUGUAGCUCAGUGUUUGACUUGCCAACAGGUGAAAGCCGAGCAUCAGGUAUCUACUGGCAAGCUUCAGAGUCUGCCAGUGCCUGAGUGGAAAUAGGAGCAAAUCACGAUGGAUUUUGUCGUGGGAUUGCCUAGAGCACAGGGUGGCUAUAAUGCGAUUUGGGUUAUAGUGGACAAACUGACCAAGUCUGCUUACUUCUUACCUGUUCAAACCACCUGGUUCAGAGAGAGACUCGUGCAACUAUAUCUGGAUGAGAUUGUUAGGUUGCAUGGCGUGCUGAUUUCGAUCGUAUCUGAUAGGGAUCCGAGGUUUGUAUCACACUUCUGGAGGAGUUUGCAGGCAGCCUUAGGUACACAGUUACAGUUCAGCACAGCGUUUCACCCACAGACAGAUGGUCAGUCAGAGCGAACUAUUCACACUCUAGAGGACAUGCUGAGAGCAUGCAUCCUGGACUUUGGAGGAGGGUGGUAUCGACAUUUGAGACUGGCUCAGUUUGCAUACAACUACAGCUAUCAAGCGAGCAUCCAGAUGGCUCCGUUUGAGGCGUUGUAUGGUCGCAAAUGUCGAUCCCCUUUGCGUUGGAGUGAGGUGGGUGAAAGGAAGACGCUUGGACCUGAGGUUUUACUAGAGGCUGAGGAAAAGGUGAGAGUUGUUCGACGACACCUUUUGACAGCCCAGAGCCGCCAGAGGAGCUACGCCGAUACUAGGAGACGAGACUUAGAGUUCCAGGUUGGAGAUCAUGUUUUUCAUAAAGUCUCGCCAUCCAGAGGGAUUCGUAGAUUCGAAAUACGUGAAAAGCUCAAUCCACGUUUCGUUUGCCCUUUUGAGGUAUUGGAGCGAGUUGGACCAGUUGCUUAUAGGAUUGCUCUACCUCCCCGACUGACCGGUAUCAACGAUGUUUUCUACGUCUCGGCAUUGAGGAGAUACAUGUUCGAUCCUUCUCACGUGAUCGACUUCACUCUACUAGAGAUUGGCGAGGAUCUGAGAUACGAGGAGUGACCAUUGCGUAUUCUUGCUCGGGAGAUGAAAGAAUUGCCCAAUCGGGUCAUUCUGUAUGUAAAAGUGUAGUGGAGUAAUCACGAGGAGCGGGAGGCAACCUGGAAGCCAGAGACCGUGAUGAGGGAAUCCUAUCCCUAUUUGUUUGAUACUUGAGCUGAGAUAUACUUAAGUUUCGAGGACGAAACUUUUUGUAGUGGGGGAAGGUGUAGUAUCCCUGGUGUUCAGCUUUUGAGGCUUGUCGACACGCCGUUAGGGUGUCGGGACAAGUCCGAGUCUCGUUGGCGCGAAAUAGACGCAAAACAGACUCAGCGGAGACGCGAGAGCAAGAGUUAGCAUCGAAAUCUGCGAAAUUGCAGAUUUUCUGCUUGUUGUACCAGUACAACAUCAGGGUUGUACCGGUACACUUACUGUACCGGUACAGCAUCGGAGGUGUACCGGUACACUUCGCACGAUUGGCGAGCAGCUGCUCUCGGGUUGCCCAUGUGUACUGGUACACUUUGGUAGGUGAGAGGGUAAUUUAGUCUUUUUCACCUUAUUUGUACCACCACCCCUUCCCCCUCAGCCUAUACUGAGGAGAGGAGUUGAGAGAGAGGUUUUAUUGGUUUCUUCUCCUCUCUCUCUCUCUAGACCUGAUCGUGAGCAAGGAGGAACCGGGUGGGGUUCGGGUGUUGUCGACGUCGCGCCGCGGUGCCGUUCGAGCAUGUAUUCGUCGUCGUGAUGCUGCCAGGAGGCUUGAUGAGCGUGGAUUUUCACCAUCAUCGACAUUGUGACAUUUCUUGAGGGGUUUUCGAGGUGAGUGAUCCAUCGAAAUCACUUUAUUUACUUCAAGUUCCAUCAAUUUCGAGCUAGGGUGCUAUUCCUGCAGAAUUCCAGCGUCGACCAUCGGUGUUUCGGCUCGUACGCGACGUAGGAGUAUUAGAUUGCGACGAAACUUGGUUCAUUGGAUUCAGAAUUUCGAGAGGAAUCCACGAAGUCCAAGAUUUUUGAUUUUGGUGAAGGUUAGCUUGGUCGAACUCCAAUUCUUCUCUGCUGUUGUUGUAUUGAGCGGAUUUUUGAGUUUUUGAGUUUCUCUUGGUGUAAUUCUUUGAAGGGUCUGGUUUUAGAGCUAAGCUUGAUACUCCAGUUUAAUACCCUGGUAUUGGAUCUUUAACUCAACCAAAUUGGAGUUUACAAGGUAAAGUUUGCAUUUUCAAUUUGAUUAAGAUUAAGCUUAAGUGCUGAAAUUGGUGCUAAGUGAUGGAUUUCCAUGUAUAGAGCUUGGAGAUAGCUUGAUUACUAGUCUUGGAAGAGUUCAGUUGAUCCAGCAGGGAUUAGAAUUGGUUCGAGGCCUCUUCGCUGCCAGAGAUUUAGCUUUAGAGGUGGGUUUAUCAUCGGAUUUCUACUCCUAAGAUCUCGUUGGUCAACAUGUGUAGUUUGGGUUUACACAUUAUUAUUGUUCUAGCUCAAAUUCUUAGAUUAUGCAUGCUUAUUGUCACGCCCCGAAACCGCUACCAAUUUGGUCCGGUUCGGGCGCGUCGAACAGGCGCCGAACGGACAGCACCUCUCCUGCACGCCCAAGGCCAAACAACCAGAUCAUAUACAGUUAAGCGCCCAGGGAAUGCUUAAAUAACAUACAUGAUCGAUACGAUGCACACAAGUGCACAAUAGCUAAGAGCAAGAACCAUGAGUGAAAUACAAGUGUAUAAAGAGAGUAGAUCUAGCUAAUACAACCAUUCAACAUUUACAUCAUUUGAAUAUAUUACAUGUCCAUCUUCCAAAUGUAAAUACAUGUUCUCAAAAUACAUCAUGGCUUUCCAAUAUCUAUCCAAAACAUCUAGUACACGAGGGUACUCUAAUGCAUAAAGGAAAGCUACUAACUAUGCUCACUUAGGGCGCUAUGCCCUUGCCGCGAUCCUCGCUCGGCUUGCCUCUGUGUGUACCUGUACCCCAAAACCACACGGGGUGAGAACUAUAUAAAUAUAGUUCCCAGUGGGUUCCGCCGCCGACGCCGCCGGUUUUCCCACUAGGUCUAAGCUGGCACAGAUAGAGAGAUAGAUAGAUAUAUAGAAAAUGAACUGCAACUACUCUAUCAUGCCAUCAAUGAUAAUAAUGCAUGCAACAACUACUAUCAUGCUAGUAUCAUGUCAUGAGUAUAUAAAGGUGCAUAGCAAUGUAAUCUACAACAUACACUAUGUCUACUCAAGGUAAUAAUGCAAGUCUACUAUGCAUUUCAUGUUUAUUACCCAAUCUACUUGGUUGACCCGUAGGUUAACCCUCGACUCACUCUCAAUCUCAUGGGUGAGGAGAAGCUGCACUCGCACACCGAGACCGUCUGCGGGACAACUACGUCUGUCCCUAAUGAAGUACUCCGGAGACUCGUGCUUCGGUGGAGCGACCACCGACAAGCAAAACAGACUAGUGAGUAUGAUCCAAUCCUCACAAGAGGAUACCCUGUCUACUAGGGUCAAUGUGCCUCUGCUGCACAGUCAUGAUAUAUAAUCAAGGUUGGGACCUCUACUAUCUCUAGGUUCAAGUCAAGUUUACUACACUAGACUCAAUGCCACUCGUUCGAUCAUUGUAGUAAGUUUUCUACUAAUUAACAUGCCACUCGUUCAAGUUUAGUGUCUCUACUGCACUAGUUCAAUGCCACUCUACUAGGCUAUGUCCAAGUUCGGCUCUUUAUGCCGCUAUAGGAUUCUAUGCCAUAAGACCCAAUCCUCAUGCUACCCUAGUCUAGGUGUUCAACUCAUCAGUACACUACUAAGAAGCAUGCAAGGAAAAGGAAAUAUACGUUUAUUAAUCCUAUAAUGCAAUAUGAUCAACAUAUAUGUAACUUAGACAUAAAAAGAAAUCUGGAUGUUUCGGAACGACACCCCCCACCUUUGUGUAUAAGGAGGCUCUAGAAAUGCGCUUCGGCGUCCUUUACGACGAAGCCUCAGUCUUCUUGUCCAAAGCGAUGCUCAAUCGGCCUUAUUUUGCCGAUAGCCCUUGACCCGCUCGACGAAUCGAAUUUCCGACUUCGCCCCCACAUUUUGGCACCUAGCAAUUAUGUUUACAAGGCAUCAAAUGAGAUCAAUCCCAUACUUUACCAAAAACCCUAUUUUGGUGCCCUAGGGUUAGCAUCAAGCUAAACCCAUCUCAAAACCCUAGAUUCUAGCUCUAAUCCUUCCAUUCAUGGUGCUAGGGAUCCAUUUGAUCUCAUCCAAAGAGCUAAAACCUAAAAACCCUAAAUUUCACAAGCUAGGGUUAGAAGCUUACCUCUAAGUUAGCUUAAAAGAGAGAAGAGAGGAUGAGGGAGAAGUCCAAAAGCUUUCAUUUGUUGAUCUCCUUCUUCUUCUCCUUCCUUUUCUUCCUUCUUUUCCUUUUCUUUUCUUCUUCUUCUUCUUCUUUCUCUUUUCUUUCUAGAGAGAGAGCAAGAGAGUGUGAGGGAGAGAGGGAAAUGCGGGCUGAGGGAGAGAGAGGGGUCCCCGAUGCCUCAUAUUGUAACAAUAUCCCAAUAGGCCCCUCACCUUUUCACUCUGUGCACUGCCCCUUACUGGGCGUUCUGCUCGCGGAGGGACCGGUCUCCCCGACUUGGGACCGGUCCCCGAGAGCUUCAGCUCGGGUCACGCGUUCGGGUACCGGUCUCUCCCAGAGAGACCGGUCCUCGGGAGACCGGUUCCUCCCUAAGAGACCGGUUCCCGAGAACUGGAAUCUCAGGACUUAGCCAAUUUUCGGCUUUCCUCGCUGGGAUCGCGUUCGGGAACCGGUCCCUUCCUGCCAGGGACCGGUUGCCUCAAGCAACCCCGCAACACCAGCCAAUGGGACCGGUCCCUCCCUGCCCGAGACCGGUCCCCGAGAGCAGUUUUGCUCCAGUGCAAGUUUUGCACUAUUUGCUCUCGUGGACUCAUUUCCAAUGCACCUUUGGUGAUUUUAACAUCUUUGGCUUUUCCAAAGCUUACCAACACGACCCUUGGUCGAUUUUACAUGAAGUCUAACUCUCGUAUUUCGAGAAUUUACUUCCUCACAUCCUCCCCUCCUAAAAAGGAGUUUCGUCCUUAAAACGAAUUCAAUACUCAAUUAACUCAUACGUCAUUGCAUUUCCUCAAAGAGAUGAGGAUAGUGGACUUUCAUCGUUUCCUCGAGUUCCCACGUGGCCUCACGAUCAUCGUGAUUGGUCCAACGAAUCUUCACAUAGGGAAUCUAGCGAUUUCUCAGCUUCCGCACUUCUCGGGCAAUGACCAUCGCCGGGAACUCUUCAUAGCUCAAAUCCUCUUGUAGAUCCGGCGGUUCGUAAUACAUAACGUGCUCGGGAUCGUGGACAUACUUGCGAAGGUUAGAAACGUGGUAUACAUCAUGCACCCCUGCCAGUUUCGACGGUAAUGUAAGUCGAUAUGCUACCGCUCCAAUACGUUCCAACACUUCGAACGGUCCGAUAUAUCGGGGACUCAGCUUUUCCCGUACCCCGAAGCGUUUCACACCCCUCAUUGGCAAAACCUUCAAGAAAACGCGGUCGCCUACCGCGAAUUCCAAGUCUCUACGGCGUUUGUCAGAAUAGCUCUUUUGCCUUGACUGUGCCGUAAGUAGCCUCUCGCGAGCAAGACGGACAUUCUCUUCCGCCUCCCGCAAUAUGUCUGGGCCCAAUGCCGCAGGCUCACCUACAUCACUCCAACAUAUAGGAGAUCGGUAGUUCCGCCCAUAUAGGAUUUCGAACGGUGCCAUCCCAAUGUUAGCUUGGUAACUGUUAUUGUAAGCGAACUCGGCCAUCCUCAAAUGGUUUGCCCAACUACCCUUGUAGUCAAUAACACACGCCCGUAACAUAUCCUCCAGAAUCUGUAUAGUCCUCUCUGACUGUCCAUCUGUCUGAGGAUGAAACGCGGUACUGAAAUCGAGCCGUGUGCCAAGUGCCUCUUGCAGGCUUUUCCAAAAGUGCGAAGUAAAACGGGGGUCUCGAUCUGACACGAUCGACUUCGGAACCCCAUGCAACCUCACAACUUCAUCCAAGUAUACCUGCGCCAACUUGUCGCCCGACCAAGUAGUGUGAAUCGGUAGAAAGUGUGUCGACUUAGUCAUACGAUCCACAAUCACCCAGAUCGCAUCGUGGCCACCCGUCGAACGGGGCAAUCCGACCACGAAGUCCAUAGCAAUAUUUUCCCAUUUUCAAACGGGAAUGGGUAAACUUUGAAGCUUUCGUGCUGGAAAUCGGCGCUCAGCCUUCACUUGCUGGCAUACUAGGCACUGUGCUACAUAGCGCCCAAUGUCUGCUUUCAUGCCCGGCCACCAGUACUACAUCUUCAGAUCACGGUACAUCUUGGUGCCACCCGGGUGAAUGCUAUAAGAAGUCCAAUGCGCUUCUUGUAAAAUUAACCUCCGGACCUCCUCGUUUUUCGGUACGCACCAUCAGUUUCGAAACCGAAGCGCACCCUCGGCGUCUACACUGAAAUCACCGCCGUGUCCACUCUCGAUGUCUCGCCGCACCUUUUGGAGGUUGGGGUCCGCAGGUUGCAAACUCUUGAUCUGCUCCAACAAGGUCGGUUGGACAACGAGAGCCGUAAGCAUAGACGGGGUUUCCGGAGCUACCACUUCGAGAUCCAUACGUUCCAUCUCUCUCCACAGUGGCUCUUGAUGUGUGACCAACAUAGUAAAAUUUUCCACUGACUUCCUACUAAGCGCGUCGGCCACCACGUUUGCUUUUCUGGGGCGGUAUAGGAUUGUAACGUCGAAAUCCUUCAGCAGUUCCAACCACCGCCGCUGCCGCAUAUUGAGCUCCUUUUGUGUGAAAAGGUAUUUCAGACUUUUGUGGUCCGUGUGUAUCUCGCAACGCGCGCCAUACAAGUAGUGCCUCCAUAACUUGAGAGCAAACACUACUGCGGCCAACUCUAAAUCAUGGACAGGGUAGUUCUUCUCAGAACUCUUCAACUGAUGGGAUGCAUAAGCGAUUACCUUCCCGCCCUACAUCAGAACACACCCUAAGCCCAAUUGUGAUGCGUCGCUAUACACCACGAAGUCUUCAUCUUGCACCGGUAAGGCGAGCACCGGAGUCGAAGUUAAUCUAUCCUUCAACUCUUGAAAACUCCGGUCGCACUCGUCAUUCUAAAUGAAUUUGGUGCCUUUUCGAGUCAGACGAGUAAGUGGACUCACGAUCUUCGAGAAUCCCUCCACGAACCGUCUAUAAUAACCCGCUAAACCCACGAAGCUUCGAACUUCCGUGACGUUAGUCGGGCGAGGCCAAUCCUUGAUCGCCUCCACUUUCCUCGGGUCAACAGAUACUCCGCCCUCGGAAAUGACAUGCCCAAGAAAUGCAACCUCUCGGAGCCAAAAGUCGCAUUUCUUAAACUUAGCGUAUAACUUCUCUUCCCGGAGGGUUUGAAGCACAAUUCUCAAAUGCUCGGCAUGUUCCUCAUCGCUGCGCGAGUAGACCAAGAUGUCGUCUAUGAAGACCACGACAAAUCGGUCCAAGUACUCCUUGAAGACACGGUUCAUUAGGUCCAUGAACGCUGCCGGGGCAUUAGUGAGCCCAAACGGCAUGACCGUGAAUUCAUAGUGUCCAUACCGCGUGCGAAACGCGGUCUUUUGAACGUCUUCCGGCUUGAUCUUGAGCUGGUGAUAACCGGACUGUAGGUCAAUCUUCGAAUAAACCCGAGACCCUUGCAAUUGAUCAAACAGAUCGUCAAUCCUCGGUAACGGGUACUUGUUCUUGAUCGUGACCUUGUUCAACUCGCGAUAAUCUACGCAGAGUCGAAACGAUCCAUCCUUCUUUCGCACGAAUAGGACCGGGGCUCCCCACGGCGACACACUUGGCCGUAUGAAUCCUUUAUCAAUAAGAUCUAUCAACUGAGCCCGUAACUCCUUCAAUUCUGCCGGCGCCAUCCGAUACGGAGCCUUCGAGAUAGGCGCGGUUCCUGGAACCAGGUCUAUCACGAACUCGAUCUUCCGGUUUGGCGGCAUUCCCGGUAACUCUGCGGGAAAAACGUCUGGGAACUCCCGAACUACGGAUAGCUCCUCCAAGAUAGGAGUCGUCCUCUCGACUUCCACAACGGUCGCCAAAUAGGCCACGCAACCGCUGUUGACCAACUUCCUUGCCCUCGUCGCCGUCACUAUAGCAGCGAAACGCGAGCUUCUACAAGCCCGAUAGGUGAAUUCCUCCUGGCCCGGCUCUCGAAACGUGAUUACUUUACUUCUGCAGUGAAUAGUCGCAUAGUACUUCGAGAGCCAAUCCAUUCCUAGAAUGACGUCGAAGUCCUUCAACUUCUUGAACAUCAACAUACGGAUGGGCAUUAUCCAAUCGCCCAACCACACUGGACAAGACGAACACUCCAUCCGGACUAGAAAGUCGCGUCCGGGGCCCGAUACCCUCCAAGUGCUUUUACUCUCUUGUAGUUCUAUGUCAUGCAUGCGUGCAAAUGACCUACUGAUGAAUGAAUGCGUAGCACCUGUAUCAAACAUGGCCCUGGAGCGAACUCCGUUAAUUAAAACCAUACCUGCGAGUACAUGGCGAUCCUCCGCCUCAGCAGGCUCUUCGGCUCGAGUUUGGGCGGCGAAUACCCGCCCGCUCGGAGCUGAUCUCGUCGCCUCCGGUUGGCGUGGUACCAUUGCACGCCCAGCCGAUGACGCAGCAGGUGGAACUCCCCCAUAAUGUGCCGGAGUUGCCGGAGCCGACGCGACCGAAAGGGCGGGCGAAGCCCUCACUGGACAGUAGCGGCUAAUAUGACCCGCCUGUCCACACGUGAAGCACUUCCCUUCCCGUUGAUCACACGUCCUUGGCUCGUGGUUCCCACCACAGAUUGUGCACCGCUGCGGUCCGCGGCCCUUGGAUUGCGUUCGGGGGUACUUCGGGGGCUUCCUUGACUUGGUUUGAGCUCCCGAGCUACUCUGAGCCCACUUCCUGCCACCGUCCUUCUCGGACGCUUCUCGCUCCUCCUGGAUGUGAGCGUUUCCUUGCUCCGCCCACAACGCUCUGUCGAGCACCUCCGCGAAGGUAGUGAGCUUCAAUUUGUGCACCGCCCGGUAGAUAUCAGCCCGGAGCCCUCGCUCGAACCAAUCGGCACGAUCCCUGUCAUCACGCACUACGUCGGGGACGCAGUCAAUGAUGUGAGAGAACUCCCGCUCAUAUUCCGCUACCGUGCGGUUCCCUUGCUUCAACUUUCGAAACUGCUCCUGGAGCUUCUUUUUCUCGCUAUCGGGAAAGUAGUUGACGUAGAACAAUCCCCGGAACUCCUCCCACGUCAACGGCGGAAGGUUGGAAGCUCGGUUUCUCUUAAUUCGUUUCCACCAAACCUUCGCCGUUCGCUCCAAGCAAUGAGUGGCGAGGUAGACCUUGUCCCUCUCCAAAGUGUAGAGGUCCUCGAACAAGGUCUCCAUUGAGUCCACCCACGACUCAACCAUCCAUGGUUCGACCUUCUCACCCUCGAACGUCGGUGGGUUGAACCUUCGAAACUUCUCGAGAGCCGCAAGCGCGCGCUCCCUCUCCGCCUCCAAUGCCGUCGCAUCGGGUGUCGUAGAACCCGACCCCGCCGGAGGAAUGCUCGCCGGCGGAGGACGUGCCGCCACCGGAACUGCCGCAAUGCCCUCGCCCUCAGCCGCCGUAGGCGCACGAGCUGGAGGCGGGGGCGGACCACGGCCCUCAGUUGCAGCUGCAGUCGCCGCCGCAAAAUGCCGCUCCAUAAGUCCUUAGAGCUGCUCAAGUCGACUCUCCUGGCGCUGUACAAUGCCGGUCAAGGCCGACACCUGCGCCCGUAAUUCCUGCACCUCACUAGAUCCGGCUUCCUCGGGCACCUCAGAAGACGGUGCCGGGAUGGACCAACGCACGUAGCGUCUUGGGGACAUUGUUCCUGCAACGCAACAAUCGGGUUAGCCAUCUAAACCACUUAACUCUGUCGCAUACACUAUAUUAUGCGACCCAACUCCGCCAUACGCGAAAGUACAUCAUUGUAUUAGUCCUAACUCUUAGCGUCGUGUUGUCGGCCGCCAACACAACUCCUCGAGCUCAGAAACUAACACCUCUCGGAUCUAUCUCUAGUAACGCUAGAGAUAGAUACUCGAUCCGGCCCAAUCGGAUUCUUCUUCCACCGAUUCAGGUUGACGUUUCUCUCACAUACUUAUCACCUUAAGGUUGCCAACCUAGGUCUCCUAGGUCCAUCCUAGACUCUCUCUUUACUUGCUCUUAAUUGCUCUGAUACCAACACUGCUCUGUCACGCCCCGAAAUCGCUACCAAUUUGGUCUGGUUCGGGCGCGUCAAAGAGACGCCGAAUGGACAGCACCUCUCCUGCCCGCCCAAGGCCAAACAACCAGAUCAUGUACAGUUAAGCGCCCAGAGAAUGCUUAAAUAACAUACAUGAUCGAUACGAUGCACACAAGUACACAAUAGCUAAAAGCAAGAACCACGAGUGAAAUACAAGUGUAUAAAGAGAGUACAUCUAGCUAAUACAACCAUUCAACAUUUACAUCAUUUGAAUAUAUUACAUUUCCAUCUUCCAAAUGUAAAUACAUGUUCUCAAAAUACAUCAUGGCUUUCCAAUAUCUAUCCAAAACAUCUAGUACACGAGGGUACUCUAAUGCAUAAAGGAAGGCUACUAACUAUGCUCACUUAGGGCGCUAUGCCCUUGCCGCGAUCCUCGCUCGGCUCGCCUCUGUGUGUACCUGUAUCCCAAAACCACACGGGGUGAGAACUAUAUAAAUAUAGUUCCCAGUGGGUUCGGCCGCCGACGCCGCCGGUUUUCCCACUAGGUCUAAGCUGGCACAGAUAGAGAGAUAGAUAGAUAUAUAGAAAACGAACUGCAACUACUCUAUCAUGCCAUCAAUGAUAAUAAUGCAUGCAACAACUACUAUCAUGCUAGUAUCAUGUCAUGAGUAUAUAAAGGUGCAUAGCAAUGUAAUCUACAACAUACACUAUGUCUACUCAAGGUAAUAAUGCAAGUCUACUAUGCAUUUCAUGUUUAUUACCCAAUCUACUUGGUUGACCCGUAGGUUAACCCUCGACUCACUCUCAAUCUCAUAGGUGAGGAGAAGCUGCACUCGCACACCGAGACCGUCUGCGGGACAACUACGUCUGCCCCUAGUGAAGUACUCCGGAGACUCGUGCCUCGGUGGAGCGACCACCGACAAGCAAAAACAGACUAGUGAGUAUGAUCCAAUCCUCACAAGAGGAUACCCUGUCUACUAGGGUCAAUGUGCCUCUGCUGCACAGUCAUGAUAUAUAAUCAAUGUUGGGACCUCUACUAUCCCUAGGUUCAUGUCAAGUUUACUACACUAGACUCAAUGCCACUCGUUCGAUCAUUGUAGUAAGUUUUCUACUAAUUGACAUGCCACUCGUUCAAGUUUAGUGUCUCUACUACACUAGUUCAAUGCCACUCUACUAGGCUAUGUCCAAGUUCGGCUCUUUAUGCCGCUAUAGGAUUCUAUGCCAUAAGACCCAAUCCUCAUGCUACCCUAGUCUAGGUGUUCAACUCAUAAGUACACUACUAAGAAGCAUGCAAGGAAAAAGGAAAUAUACAUUUAUUAAUCCUAUAAUGCAAUAUGAUCAACACAUAUGUAACUUAGACAUAAAAAGAAACCCGGAUGUUCCGGAACGACACCCCCCACCUUUUGCGUAUAAGGAGGCUCUAGAAGUGCGCUUCGGCGUCCUUUACGACGAAGCCUCGGUCUUCUUGGUCCAAAUGAUGCUCAAUCGGCCUUAUUUUGCCGAUAGCUCUUGACCCGCUCGACGAAUCGAAAUUCCGACUUCGCCCCCGCGUUUAGGCACCUACCAAUUAGGUUUACAAGGCCUCAAAUGAGAUCAAUCCCAUACUUUACCGAAAAACCCUAUUUUGGUGCCCUAGGGUUAGCAUCAAGCUAAACCCAUCUCAAAACCCUAGGUUCUAGCUUCAAUCCCACCAUUCAUGGUGCUAGGGAUCCAUUUGAUCUCAUCCAAAGAGCUAAAACCCAAAAAUUCCAAAUUUCACAAGCUAGGGUUAGAAGCUUACCUCUAGAUUAGCUUAAAAGAGAGAAGAGAGGAUGAGGGAGAAGUCCAAAAGCUUUCUUUUGUUGAUUUCCUUCUUCUUCUCCUUCCUUUUCUUCCUUCUUUUCCUUUUCUUUUCUUCUUUUUCUUCUUCUUUCUCUUUUCUUUCUAGAGAGAGAGCAAGAGAGUGUGAGGGAGAGAGGGAAAUGAGGGCUGAGGGAGAGAGAGGGGUCCCUCAUGCCUCAUAUUGUAACAAUAUCCCAAUAGGCCCCUCACCUUUUCACUUUGUGCACUGCCCCUUACUAGGCGUUCUGCGCACGAAGGGACCGGUCUCCCCGACUUGGGACCGGUCCCCGAGAGCUUCAGCUCGGGUCACGCGUUCUGGUACCGGUCUCUCCCAGAGAGACCGGGAGAGACCGGUCCUCGGGAGAUCGGUUUCUCCCUAAGAGACCGGUUCCCGAGAACUGGAAUCUCAGGACUUAGCCAAUUUUCGGCUUUCCUCGCUGGGAUCGCGUUCGGGAACCGGUCCCUUCCUGCCAGGGACCGGUUGCCUCAAGCAACCCUGCGACACCAGCCAAUGGGACCGGUCCCUCCCUGCCCGGGACCGGUCCCCGAGAGCAGUUUUGCUUCAGUGCAAGUUUUGCACUAUUUGCUCUCGUGGACUCAUUUCUAAUGCACCUUUGGUGAUUUUAACAUCUUUGGCUUUUCCAAAGCUUACCAAUACGACCCUUGGUCGAUUUUACAUGAAGUCUAACUCUCGUAUUUCGAGAAUUCACUUCCUCAAACUUAUGACAUAUAUACUGAAUUUGGGGCAUAGUAUUAAUUGUUAAUAAUUAUACAUGUGGGACUUGAAUUUGACUUAGGAGAAAAUUUGCGAUUUGAACCUGUCAUAUGUUUAAACUACCUGAUUUAGCUCUAGGAGCCGUUGUAAUUUUGUAUCGUCGCAGUAUCGAUGUGAUGGAUACCCCAGGUAGUUUAGAUUUCAGUUACGCUCGUGCUG